rnacentral:rRNA from 1 species
GACUCACGGCAACGGAUAUCUCGGCUCUCGCAUCGAUGAAGAACGUAGCGAAGUGCGAUACUUGGUGUGAAUUGCAGAAUCCCGCGAACCAUCGAGUUUUUGAACGCAAGUUGCGCCCAAGGCUUUUGCCAAGGGCAUGCCUGCCUGGGCGUCACGUAUCA